CAUCGAUACUGGCAAACUUAUCGAAAGAUAAGGACGCAAAGUUAAAGGGUCUAAUGUCCGCUAAUAAUGAAGUAGCGAACGAAUGACAGCCUGACUGCCGAA
rnacentral:ncRNA from 1 species